rnacentral:rRNA from 1 species
UACGUAGGGCGCAAGCGUUGUCCGGAAUUAUUGGGCGUAAAGAGCUCGUAGGCGGUUUGUCGCGUCUGUCGUGAAAGCUUGGGGCUUAACCCCAAGUCUGCGGUGGAUACGGGCAGACUAGAGGCAGGUAGGGGAGAACGGAAUUCCCGGUGUAGCGGUGAAAUGCGCAGAUAUCAGGAGGAACACCGGUGGCGAAGGCGGUUCUCUGGGCCUUACCUGACGCUGAGGAGCGAAAGCAUGGGGAGCAAACAGG